rnacentral:rRNA from 1 species
UACGAAGGGGGCUAGCGUUGCUCGGAAUCACUGGGCGUAAAGGGUGCGUAGGCGGGUUUCUAACUCAGAGGUGAAAGCCUGGAGCUCAACUCCAGAACUGCCUUUGAUACUGGAAGUCUUGAGUUCGGGAGAGGUGAGUGGAACUGCGAGUGUAGAGGUGAAAUUCGUAGAUAUUCGCAAGAACACCAGUGGCGAAGGCGGCUCACUGGCCCGAUACUGACGCUGAGGCACGAAAGCGUGGGGAGCAAACAGG